UACGAAGGGCCCGAGCGUUAAUCGGAAUCACUGGGCUUAAAGGGUGCGUAGGCGGGCUUGUAAGUACCUUGUGAAAUCCCAGGGCUCAACCCUGGAAUGGCUUGGUAGACUGCAAGUCUUGAGCCCGACAGAGGCCAUCGGAACUCUAGGUGGAGCGGUGAAAUGCGUAGAUAUCUAGAGGAACGCCAAAGGUGAAGACAGGUGGCUGGGUCGGAGCUGACGCUCAGGCACGAAAGCGUGGGUAGCGAACGGG
rnacentral:rRNA from 1 species